rnacentral:lncRNA from 1 species
GAGCAGUUCAGUAAUUAGUUUUUUGUUGACGUCCAAAGUUAGGACGUUUUGUUCCAGUUAAAGUUGAGUACCAGUUCUUUGUGUUCGUGUUAAAUCUCACGUAAUAUUUCACGUGGUAUACAAGCUAACUUCCAAUAGAUGCCAAAAAAUUGAAUGGUUUACUUGACUUAUGUAAACCCAGAGCAAACCUUUACAGCCGAGAAUGGGACGAAAAUUCAAAAGGGCCACAAUAUUAAAAGUAUUAUAAAUAUGGAGGAAGGAAGUGACAAUAAUGAAGAAUAUAAACAAGACUAAUUUUAGUUAUUCCGAUUAACUAUAGAAAUGUUUUUUAUUAUAAUUUUUUAUGUUGUACUGUUUUGCUUCAAUAAAUUUAUUACUAAGUCUA